rnacentral:lncRNA from 1 species
UACAUUUCGAAGCUUUUAGAGAGAGAGGGUCAAGAAUGAGUAUUGGUGAGUAAAUGAGCAAUAAGGUAAUAUUUUCUCUCUCUUUAAUCUUAAAAUUUGAUACAAUGCAAUGUAUAUGACUGAUUUGGCUGCUGAGAUUGCUGGUCAUAUAAGUCACAUGCUAUGGCUAGAUUAGGCUAGGGUUGUUCACCAACCUUGACUUAGCAAGAUUUGCAAGUUGUCUAAAAAAAUCUAAAAAGGGCAUAAAUGACAUUUCCUUAAUUU